GACGAACGCUGGCGGCGUGCCUAAUACAUGCAAGUAGAACGCACAGUUUAUACCGUAGCUUGCUACACCAUAGACUGUGAGUUGCGAACGGGUGAGUAACGCGUAGGUAACCUGCCUGGUAGCGGGGGAUAACUAUUGGAAACGAUAGCUAAUACCGCAUAAUAUUAAUUAUUGCAUGAUAAUUAAUUGAAAGGUGCAAUUGCACCACUACCAGAUGGACCUGCGUUGUAUUAGCUAGUAGGUGAGGUAACGGCUCACCUAGGCGACGAUACAUAGCCGACCUGAGAGGGUGAUCGGCAACACUGGGACUGAGACACGGCCCAGACUCCUACGGGAGGCAGCAGUAGGGAAUCUUCGGCAAUGGACGAAAGUCUGACCGAGCAACGCCGCGUGAGUGAAGAAGGUUGUCGGAUCGUAAAGCUCUGUUGUAAGAGAAGAACGGGUGUGAGAGUGGAAAGUUCACACUGUGACGGUAUCUUACCAGAAAGGGGCGGCUAACUACGUG
rnacentral:rRNA from 1 species